CUGAGUUCUGCCAGUUCUUUUUUCACCUCCUCUGCUCUUGCUCAAUUUUUCCUGAACUACUGUAUCCCUGGGCUCUUGUUUUGUCUUGAGCUCCUGUUUUUUAAAGAGGAUUGCUUCGCUAAGUUGUUUUUUUCUUUUUAAAUGCAUGACAGUAUUUGGGAUCCCAAAUUUCACCUGUUUUGUGACAAUAUUUUGCUAGUGAAUCUUUUUCAACUCUUCCUCAUUUGUUUUUCUUGUUCUUUAGUCUUUUCUCAUGUGUAGGUUCUGUGCUGGUUCCUUUCCGGUUCCUCAUCUUGAAGUGAGGCGAGGCUUUCUGAAUCAGCUAUGUGCAAGAAAUGUAUGUGAUGAGACGGCCAGGGCUUAUUCUGAACUAGCAGGAAUGCUCCCUAAACAUCAGGCCGUGAUGGUGAGAGACACCUUCUAGCUGUCAACAGAUAGUCUCUCCUCCUGCAGCGAUUGGCAGCUGCAGGGACGCACACGAGGAAAUCGCCCUCUUUCCCUGGACUGGCCACUAAAUAAUGAACGUUGUCAUUGUUGGAGCAUAGGAGUCAUCGGAUUGCUCUGAUUUCUGGAACUGUGGCGAUAUAACACUUCCUCUUAGGAUAGCGACACUCCAAAAUAAAGGACUACAUGUGACCUGCAAGUGCCACCAUUGUCACCACUGUCAUUGAAUUCUGUAGCUUCAACCUCCUUUUUCAAUCCAGUUUCAAGACUAGGACAUGGACCAUGAGAAAGCUCUGCACACCGUGUAUGAGGAGCCAACAGUUUGCUGCUGUAGAACUCAAGGCUCAGAAUGGAGAGGAAACGUGCCGGAGCCAUCCAACAAGUGAGACGCACAGCCAUCAUCGGCCCCUUAGGGCAGGAUUUACGGUAGAGCAACGUGCUCGCCACCGUGCCUGCCAGAGGGGGCGCUCGACGAAUGGUGUGAUCAUGUCCGGAUGGCAUCCCAGCCAGUGUUGAAGUGAAGAAAUCAGUUACCUUGUCUAAAAUAUGGUUCAAUUGUCUUAGGGAUUGGAGAUGUCUGUGCAAGGCAGGCCACUUGGCAUGGCUAGGAGCCCUGGAGCGGCUGUGAGCAGAGGGCACUGAGCCCAUGGAUGGAGAAGUCACUGUGCCAGGCCCCGUGGUCAGCUUUACAAGAACCAUCUCNCUGUGAGCAGAGGGCACUGAGCCCAUGGAUGGAGAAGUCACUGUGCCAGGCCCCGUGGUCAGCUUUACAAGAACCAUCUCGUUGAAGUCUCACAAGGCCCUGUGAGUAAAGUACUAUGGCUAUUGUCCCAAUUUACAGAAGGGGAGACUGAAUAUUAAGUAAAACCAGAUUCACAGGGGUUACGACUCACACAGGGGCUCUAGGGCCA
rnacentral:lncRNA from 1 species